AUGGUAUCAUUCUAAUCCACAUACUUAACCACUAAAUAGUUACCUCUAAUUAUUCUCCCUAUGCCUGCUAAUUCACCUUGAAGACCAAUUUCUCCUUCUCUUCUCCUCAUUCACAAAAUCCAGAUUUCUUUUCAAAUUCAAUUUGAAAUUUGCAAUUGAAUUCUCAAAAAACAUGGAUGAAACUCCCAAUCCAACAAGACUGCCACCGCCAUCCAAAAAGCCGCCCAUUCUGCUAUAUGUGAAGGCGCUGUCGAGCUUGCUUGGAGGCAAUGGAGGCUGUGUGUCUUCAACCCAUCAGCGUCAUCAAGACCCGGUUCCAGUUCGACCAGAGUAGCACCUACAAGGGAAUUGUCCACUGCGGUUUCAUGUGCGACAAGGACAUUCAACUUCCUCUGGAGUAAAAAGUGAUCAAACGGAUGAAUUUUAGAGUGAUUCCAAUUGGAAGAUGUUUGUGAGUCUUUCAAGAUGAUUGUAUCAAAGUUUCAAAAUUUUCUACUUAGCCGUUUGACCGUAGCAAUGAAAUAAAGGCCCAGCGAG
rnacentral:sRNA from 1 species